CGUAGGGUGCGAGCGUUGUCCGGAAUUAUUGGGCGUAAAGAGCUUGUAGGCGGUUUGUCGCGUCUGCUGUGAAAAAUCCGGGGGCUCAAACCCCCGGACUUAGCAGUGGGUACGGGCAGACUAGAGUGUGGUAGGGGAGACUGGAAUUCCUGGUGUAGCGGUGAAAAUGCGCAGAUAUCAGGAGGAACACCGAUGGCGAAGGCAGGUCUCUGGGCCACUACUGACGACUGAGAAGCGAAAGCAUGGGAGCGAACAGGAUU
rnacentral:rRNA from 1 species